rnacentral:rRNA from 1 species
UACGAAGGUGGCAAGCGUUGUUCGGAUUUACUGGGCGUACAGGGAGCGUAGGCGGUUCGGUAAGCCCUCUGUGAAAUCUCCAGGCUUAACCUGGAACAGUCGGAGGGGACUGCUGGGCUAGAGGACGGGAGAGGAGCGCGGAAUUCCCGGUGUAGCGGUGAAAUGCGUAGAGAUCGGGAGGAAGGCCGGUGGCGAAGGCGGCGCUCUGGAACAUUUCUGACGCUGAGGCUCGAAAGCGUUGGGGAGCAAACAGG